UACAGAGGUCCCAAGCGUUGUCCGGAUUUAUUGGGCGUAAAGAGCGUGUAGGCGGUUUGGUAGGUCCGCUGUGAAAACUCGAGGCUCAACCUCGAGACGCCGGUGGAAACCAUCAGGCUAGAGUCCGGAAGAGGAGAGUGGAAUUCCUGGUGUAGCGGUGAAAUGCGCAGAUAUCAGGAGGAACACCGGUGGCGAAGGCGGGUCUCUGGGCCGAUACUGA
rnacentral:rRNA from 1 species